rnacentral:lncRNA from 1 species
AUGAGGUUUUGUCUCCUUUGCAGACUCUUUGGGCCCUCGAUUAUCCCGUAUGAUGUGGCUGCCAACAGGACCAUCGCCUCUUUCUUAGGUGCCCCUGAAUGCAGGGCAAAAAUGCCAGCGGUGGAAAGGGAAUUUCUGCAAGAAGCCCAUACGAGCUUCCUCCUCUGCUCUGGUGGGUAUCAGYGCUUUACGGGAAGGGACAACAUCCAGUUCCAGAGCCAUUGUAUUAAAUGUAAAUGGAGAGGGAAAUUAUAUUCCAUAUACUCUAUACUGUAUUGUAGUCGCGCAGACAGCUGGUUGCAGCACACACAGCCUGAACCACCUCUCCGGCGGUACAUGCCGUCCUCACUGAGGAGCUGUAGGGAUGCUGUGCUCCCAGGAUCCUGCUUGCUGGUAAAAUCCAGAUUUUGGCCUCCAAGAGAAGAAGCAUCCAUAUGUGGCAUUAUGGUUGAAGCCUCUGUUCCUACUGGACCAAGCCAGGAAGGGCAAAAGGACAUUUUUGAUCAAAGCCUCUUCCCCUGAUUUCUAAGUCCAGAUAAAUUCAAACAUUCUUAUCUUUGGGGGGAACUUACCCUUCCUGUCCUGUACCUCCCUGGGAGAGAGUCCUUCAUCAAGGAGGGCUGGUGCCCUAAGGUACAUGUAGCACUAUCCUUAGCUAGUAGGGAAAAAUCUGACCCCUCCUGGUUGUUCCUAAGGGUCAGCAAAGUUCCUUGUUAGUGAAAUGCUCCUUUUUUUUUCUUCUCCUCUUCGUGGAACUUACAAUCUGAGAGCACAUUUCACCUGUGGGUGAAGGAGCACAAGUCAAAACCCACCAGCCCUGCAGAACAAGGCCAUGGCCAUAUAUUCAGAAACUUGUGCAUAGCUGGAAGUGAAAGAGGAUGAAGAGGUUGUUUGAGAUACAAGUGGGAACUGAAGAAGAAAAUAUUCAUUCCUCCUGCUUAAACUUGAGCUGGAUCCACAUUUUGGAUUGCCAUGUUUGUAAAUAAAGUGGCUGUAGUAAUGCA